rnacentral:lncRNA from 10 species
CUAGUCAGUGCUGCUGCUGGAAACCAGAGUCUUCUUUUGUUUUCCCUCUCACCUCUGGCUGCCUCUCUCUCCCCUCAAAGGUCAGAGCAGUGCCAAGGACAGAAGAGAGAGUAGAUCCAGCCUUGGCCCUGCUAGGCUGGGCAGCCUGGCAGGUAGAGUCAGCAGGGAUAGAGCUUGCUUUCCUGUUCACGAUCUUCAGCCAAGUUCAGGGAGGUCUGAAUACUGAGGCCUUCAUAGCCACUGCACCCCAGGUAGCUCAGGAGAACCUCCGAGCGCAGGAGUGCAAAGGCUGGCAUUCUUCAGGCUCUGAGGCUGUCCCUUCCGGUGGAGGUGAACUGCUUCUUAUUGAUGUGGACAAGACUGUGGAUGGAGACUGACAGGAUCCUGGCUUGGGGGCCUUCCGGCAGGGCUGGCUGCUGGGCUGGCAGGCUCUGGCGCUCCCCUUCCCCAGAACUGACUUUGUUCCUGGCAGCCAUGGUGGCUGCACUAACCACAUUCUGCCUCCACCUUUGCACUAAGAAAAGCAAAUAAGCAGACCACAGAACUGUUUGCAUUUGCCCCAGAUGCUCCCUGGCUGCGGGAAGAGAGCCAAGUCCCAGUCCCUUUUCAGGGCAGCCAGCCAAGCUGGGAGAUUGGGAGCUGGAAAGAUGUCCCCUGAAAUACAGGUUUGGUGACUCUAACCGUGAAUGGCCCCGAUUCACAGGGGAGGGUUGCUGUUCCUUUGCCAUCCUUUGCCUAUUUGCAGCACUUGCUGAAAGAUAGAAAGAAACACCGAGACAGGAGCUUGGGCUGUAUAGGCAGGGGACAAAUGAAAUGUUUUCCUACUGUGUAAAAAGUUCAAGUGUUCCCAUAUAUGCAGAGCUUGGAACAAUGUCAUCAACUCCUCUUCGUUUUUUUCCAAACAACCUCCUUUAAGACACAGCAAACAGCAGUGCUGCGGAGGUAUGUCUAAUUGCAGAUACUUUUUGUUCAUCAUCGUAUUGAACGUCGUUGCGUGUUCCAGCAGCCAUCAACUUCCUCAGGAGGAAAAUUCAAUUGUGCACUGAGCGACAGCGUGAAGAGACCGGGCCAAGCAGGCAGGGUGCUGCAGGUCAACAAGGUGCUGCUGUGCUCCUGAAGCCUUCAGGAGCCUCAGCCUGAGAGCUCAGGAAAGGGUGGGGCUCCAACCCACCUGGCUUUCCGCCUUACUGAGCUCCAAACACAGGCUUGUUCCACAUCACGGAGAGCCCUUAUCCUGCAUGUGCGUCUCGCUCCCUGACAAGCCUAUUUGUGCCUUGUCACCAGAAAUGUACCUUUUUUCUUCUCUCAUCUGUCCCUGACACCCCCAGCUUAUCUAGCCUGAAGAGAGGCUAUCAAAAUGGUAAUAGCCAGAUGGAAAACAAGGAAAAAUAAGCCCUUUCCCAUAAGGAAGCAAUACGGAUUUUGGAACCGGAGAAAUUUCUACUAUUCUCCCAACAUCAUUCCCUCCGCCUUGGGUGUGCUUCCGAGAGGGUUGGAGGUGUCACCUGCCGUACCCUAGGACUGGCUGAGGGAAAACACACCUGAAGAUUUCCUGUAAAUGAAAAAGUGAAUCACUAAAAGGGGGAGCUGUCAUCCCCUGGCAUUUCUCUGUGCACAGGCGACCUAGUGUUGGGAUGGCAGCAGAACCCAGACAACUGAGCCAACACGUGGAGGGAAGCCCUCACUAGCCUGCAUUCGACUUGUGUGAGAGAGAAGUGAACGUUUACGUGCAAAGCCACUGAGCUUUUGUUGUUGUUCCUGCAGCACAGGGCAUUCUAACCUGCCUAAUACUGAAACGAGUACUGUUAGGCUUGAUCUGUGAAGAGGAGAACAUAAAAGGCCUGCAUAUUCUCUUUUAGGUCCUAAAAAUGCAGUGCUCUCUUCUUGGCCUUGCUGUGACCAGGCUGUUUAAAAUCUGUCACCCCGCCAGUCGCCACUGUAUUAUCUUGCUUUAUUUUUCUUCAUAGUAUUUAUUGAUAAUUUAUGUGCUUAUUAUGUCUCCCUGACUGGAAUGUAAGUUUCAUGAAGGCCAGGACUUGUGCCUUAAAACAGGGCCUGGCACAGAGUAGGCACUUAAUGUGUAUUUUUGAAAGUGAAUUGUGGGCUGAAAAUUCUGAUUUUUCAAAAAAGUUAAUAAAGGUGAAGGCCUUCCUUGCCUUUAUUAAAUGCUUAAAAUGGAUCAGUGGUGGGGUAGAGAUGGAAGGAGUCACACACAUACUGUACCUUCAACGGGUUUCAAUCUAACUGGGAGACAAAAUAUAGAAACAUGAAACAAGCAGAGAGCAAAUCUCUAGGUACCUAAGAGUUAAUUAAGUACUAAGGGUGUACUUAAAUUUGUGAGGGAGGAAGGGGAAGAGGACUGUCCAGAGGUAUGGCUAACUACCAAAAACUCUCUGGAGCAGACAGCUUUGGCAGCAGACUGAGAGCAGGGUUCUCCAAUUUGAGCUUGCAGAAGAAUCACCUGGAAGGCUUCUAAAACCUAUACUAUUGGCCCCACCCCCAGAGUUUCUGAUUCACUAGAUCUGGAUUAUACCUGGGGAUCUUUUUUUUUUUAGACAGAGUCUUGCUCUGUUACCCAGGCUGGAGUGCAGUGGCACUAUCAUAGCUCACUGCAACCUCGAACUCCCCGGUUCAAGGGAUCCUCCCACCUCAGCCUCCCCAGUAACUGGGAUUUCAGGCAUGUGCCACCAAGCCCGGCUAAUUUUUUUUUUUUUUUUUUUGAGAUGGAGUUUCAUUCUUGUUGCCCAGGCUGGAGUGCAAUGGUGCAAUCUCAGCUCACUGCAAUCUCUGCCUCCUGGGUUCAAGUGAUUCUCCAGCCUUGCCUCCUGAGUAGCUAGGAUUACAGGCAUGUGCCACCACGCCCAGCUAAUUUUGUAUUUUUAGUAGAGAUGGGGUCUCACCGUGUUGGCCAGGCUGGUCUUGCACUCCUGACCUCAGGUGAUCCACCCACCUCAGCCUCCCAAAGUGCUGGGAUUACAGGUGCCCACUGCCGUGCCCAGCUUAAUUUCAGUAUUUUUAGUAGAGAUAGGGUUUCUCUAUGUUGGCCAGGCUAGUCUCAAACUCCUGACCUCAGGCGAUCCACCCACCUUGGCCUCCCAAAGUGCUGGGAUUACAGGCCUGAGCCACCACACCUGGCCUCACCUGUAUUUUAAAUUGAGUUUUACUGGGUAACAGCCAUGGUCAUUCAUUUACAUAUUGUCAAAGGCUGCUUUCAAGCUACAACAGCAGAAUUUAACAGUCUCAAGACCAUAUGGCCUGCAAAGCCUAAAAUAUUUACUGGCCCUUUACAGAUAAAGUUUGCUGACCCCUAGAGAGGAAGUCAUGGCCCAUGGCUGGCAGAUGGAAGCCUCAGGACCUGAAGAUUUCUCAAAGAAAGGGACCUGCUGCUGACAGCAAUUAAUAUAUGUUCACAGCUUGCAGCUGAAGCCUGAUGAUGGCUGUAGGAGAAAGGACAUCACCCAGAUGACAUUUUGCCUCCAAAGCUCUGGGGACCAAUUGUGGAAGAACUGCAGGGAUAUUAUGUUAGAAUGUUCUUGUGUCUGGAUAGGAUGAGAACUGUCUUAUAACAAAGUGCAGCCCCCAUGUCUGAGGGCAUGUUUCCUGUGUUUAGGCACUUCCGAAGCAGGGAGCACCUUCAAGGGGCACUGGCCUUCCCAGAAACAGUGUUUGACCUGUGAUGAUGUCCUGGGGGAGGGGACCUAGGAAAAGACCUUAGCCUUUCCAUAAGGCACGAUUAUUCUCCUCUAUAGAGCCUCAAAAGUCAAGUCAAGUAGCAAGCACACUGUGCUCCAGUCUGUGGCCACAGACACACACAAGGACUGGAGCAAAACCAAACAUAGUGUAUCAUCACCGCUGAACCCCCAGGAGCCCCCAGAUGCUUUUGAACGUGAAAGGAGAAAGAAGCUGUCAGAGAUCAGGUUGAAUGUGGUGGGUUAGGUGUGCGGCAUUGCCUCUGGGUCCCUGCUUUGGUUUAAUUAAACUAAGUCUGGUGGUGAAUUGGUUCCCAAAUGUUCAUUGGUGGAUGGGCGGCAUCAGAAUUGUCUACAUCUUUUAAAAAACACGUACGCAAAACCUAUGCAUGUCUUCCUCUGAGAGUUUGAUUUUCAGCAGGCUUGGGGUGGAUUCCUACUUUUAAGAACUCCCCACGCCCGUCCUAAGUGAUUGUGAUUCCCAGUAAGUGAAUGCUGACAAAUUGAACCUUCCAGCAUGGACAUUUAUUUAUGAAAUAAAUGGACAUUAAUUUCACAGUCUUUCUAUGGAUUCGAGGUGGUGCUGGAUCCACAGGCUCACCUGGCCCCCUAGCUUUCUCUGCAGAAUCUGCCAGUGUGCCUUCAAUCCCAAAAGAAGUCGCUUUUCAUGUGCUGCUGGAGCUUUUGAUUGGCGGUGACUGAGAUGGGACUUUAAGUUCUCACCAGGAUGCAAAGUGGGGUUCCAACUUUACUGCUUUCUGAACCCUGCUGAUCUGUCCCCAACCAAGGCUUGAUUUUCUUCUGAAGCGCAGUAUUUUUAAACUGUGGUUGAAAUCUAUUCAUGGGCUAUAAAAUCAGUUGUUGAGGAUGUAACCAUUUUGAAUUAAUUUUUAAUUCAAAAAAUUAGACUAGAAAUUUUUAAUUUUAAUUCAAAAAAUAGACUAGAAAAAAAUCAGAGUGCAUCAUGUAUGGUAGGGAUAAGUGUAAUUCUUUCUGUAAAACUUGUUUUGGAGGGUAUGUUGUGCAUUGGGCUUCUGUGUAUUUCUUACUACGUUUCACAGGGAAACUGCUGUCAUCUCUGCAGUACAAUAUAGAUCAACAAUGGCCCUAACUUCCCUAAGACAGCUCUCAUGUCUGCUUGCAGAGAACAGAUGGAAAAAGUCACCAGGGAGGGUAGAUUGCCAUAUACAAGUACUUCAGGGAGGCUACCUGGAAACUAAUAGAAAACCAGUUUAUGGAUGAUUGCAGAGCCUGGGGAGAGAAAUCAAUCUUGGACAGUUUUAUGGAUGGCAGCCAACAGCCUACCAUGCUCAGCCCAUCGCACCUGUCACCUGGGGACAAGCAGGGUCUAUCUGGAACGGACUCUGGCCAGGAUUCAGUUUCUCUUUCCUCGAAAUGGGGAUAAUCACCCUCUUGACUAUUGCUGUUAUGGGAAAGGCCAAAUUAGGGGAAAAAAAUUCUGUCCAAUAAGGGAUGAACCACAAAGCUCAGGCCAGUAAUGGCCUCUAUUGGUGGUUUGGGAGGUAUGCUUGUAUGGGCAUUAAGGGAGAAAGAGAAGGUCUGCACUCUAAUCAAGUCUAGGCAAUGUGGGAGUUGGAAAGAGACACAUGGGAACACAGACCCAGUCACCUGAAGGCAAGAGCCUUUCUUUUUCCUCCUCUUGGCAGGCAGCGUGGGCUCCCGGGCCCCAAGCAGGAUCCCUUAGGGCUGAUCUCUUACCACACACUGGUCUGACUUGGUGACCUGGAAGAGGACAGUCAGAGCCAACAGGAUGAGGGGACCAGCUUGGAGAGCAUCUAUUGUAUGCCACCCUUGAGUGGCUGGAAAUGUCUUCUGCCACUUUGCAAGGGGCUGGGGGCUGGGGAGUGGGAGUGGCAAGGGAACACGGGGUGGUAGAUUGUUCCCAGGGCUGCUGGUUUUGGAGCAGUCUGACUACCCUCUCUUCUUAGUGGGAAAGAAAGGAGGAAGAAGGGGGAAGGGAUGCUUUUGGAGGGGAGCUCUAAGGGUGGGAGAAAAGAAAGCCUGAAAGAACAUCACUAAAGGGUCUGAAGUUAAAGACUCCAAUGAACAAGAAGCCCCUAAUUCAAACAGUGCCACUAACACCAAAACCUGUAAAGUGGUCCAGAGAGACCCUGGUCAUGUCUGUAACUUUCCUUUUUAAAGCUCUCGUGAAGUUAAUGAAUGAAAAAAUUGCUAAUGCAAAGAUGGAAAUUAAUAAAAACAAAAGCGUGCUUCAUAUUGCAGGGUGACCACCUCUAAUCCUACCAGUGAUCCUGUGGCUGUCCCUGUAACUUCCUUUGGCAACACCAUGCUUUGAGAAGCUGUGGGGAAGGCUGGCCAGGGAGAGAGCCUCACCCCCCAAUUCUGCCAGCUGAUCCCCCAGAGGGCUGCAAGGCUCCUGAUUUACCCAGACCUCUGGAGUGGCUGAGGCUGGGCUCUGGGGUUGGAUGGUUCUCACCAAGAGGCCUGGGACAUCUGCUCUGUGCUAAGCUCCGAGGCAGACCACAGAGGAGAUAAUGACUAAUCGGACCUUCACAUACAUUGUACAUGCCUUUUCUGAACUGAAAAAGAGAAGAACAAACAAGAUAAAAAUAUUGAAAAAAAAGAAGAAUCAAAUGUGUAGAAAAUGCAAGGUCAUUAGAACUGCCCAGGGCUUCAUUCAGGCAAAGAUCUUGAGGGUCUGGCCAGGGACCUGCUGAGUAAAUCUAGCUCUGGUUCCCCUCCCACAGAUUCCCUGCGCCUCCUCCAACUGCAUAACCAAAUCUCCCCACCUCCCAACUUUCCUUGAGCUAUUCUGCUGUUUUCUUCACUUUAGUUUUCUCACUGUAACCC